rnacentral:rRNA from 1 species
UGGGGAAUAUUGCACAAUGGGCGCAAGCCUGAUGCAGCCAUGCCGCGUGUGUGAAGAAGGCCUUCGGGUUGUAAAGCACUUUCAGCGAGGAGGAAGGUGGUGAGCUUAAUACGCUCAUCAAUUGACGUUACUCGCAGAAGAAGCACCGGCUAACUCCGUGCCAGCAGCCGCGGUAAUACGGAGGGUGCAAGCGUUAAUCGGAAUUACUGGGCGUAAAGCGCACGCAGGCGGUUUGUUAAGUCAGAUGUGAAAAUCCCCGGGCUCAACCUGGGAACUGCAUUUGAAACUGGCAAGCUAGAGUCUCGUAGAGGGGGGUAGAAUUCCAGGUGUAGCGGUGAAAUGCGUAGAGAUCUGGAGGAAUACCGGUGGCGAAGGCGGCCCCCUGGACGAAGACUGACGCUCAGGUGCGAAAGCGUGGGGAGCAAACAGGAUUAGAUACCCCUGGUAGUCCACGCUGUAAAACGAUGUCGAUUUUGGAGGUUGUGCCCUUGAGGCGUGGCUUCCGGAGCUAACGCGUUAAAUCGACCGCCUGGGGAGUACGGCCGCAAGGUUAAAACUCAAAUGAAUUGAC